ensembl:snoRNA SNORA70 Small nucleolar RNA SNORA70
CUGUCACGCAAUGGCUGCAAACAGUAGCCCUCCUGGUAGCUAAAGAAACCUGUCGUGUGCAUAUGUUGUCCUAAGGGACCCUCGACACAGGU